CGUAGCUGCUGGUUAGUUCGGGGUUUGACGCCAAUCUUCAGUUCGAGGCUACGGCGGAGAUGGAGUUCAUGUCAUUCGGCGAUGCACCGUCGACAUUGAUGACUUGUAGAACCCGACAUGCAAGAUCAUCGUUCUUCUCCUCUUGUCAUUGAUGGUUUGUUUGUCGGUGACGACAUGCAAGAACCCAUCUGUAUUGGAUUUUAAUUAUAAGGGAGAUUGGGUUCUGAUUGUUUGUCGUUGAUGGUUUGUUUGUCGGUGACGACGGGAAACUGGAACUUGAUUGGGUAAUGAAUUCGGUGGGUUGAGAAGCAAGAUAAGGACCUUCCAUCAAGUCAGAAAUUGAGAAAAAUGGAAGGUAUUAGACGAUGAAGGAAAACAGAGAGGGAACUAGAAAAGGAGAAGAGGAGCGUACUGUUGCUUCUAGUAUAACAACGCAGCAAGAAGAAAGGAAUUCGUGAUUAAGGACUUUACAAGACCUCCAGUUAUCCACGAUGCAAGUAGUGGUGGUGUUUGCUGAACAUUGUGGAGUAAAGGCUCAAGCUCCAGGAAUAACAGGUAGGGGAUUCAAGACUCCCCUUGAUUAGUGCCUUUCAUAUAUAACGUAUAUACAAUGGUGAUUGCAUGGCUAUGGUUAUUUCCUUAUGAAUUUAAAGAUUUUGAUAUUUUAAUCGCCAUGCUUGUUUUCAAUUAUUUUCGAGAUUGUAUGAUGACCUGAGAGUGAGCGGAGCAUAGCGACUACCUUGGGUUUCAAUCCCCUAAACCUCCGGAGGGGCUGUAUGGACGGUAUAGUGUCUGACAUCCCUUGUGGUGUGGCACUAUUUCUAGGUGAUACGGCGUAAAUGGACACUCUCGCUACUCCUUGCCGGUUGAAAUGUUAAUCUUGGUAAGGGUGUAGUUGGCAUAGUGACCGGUCAUCAGGCCCGUUCCAAAGCGGACGUCCGCACUUUGCUAAAGUGCGGACGGCGACGCAGCGGAGGCUUUCCAGGGGGCGACGGCAGCUCGGGGCUUGGCGGACGGAGGCCGGAGGCUUGGCGGACGGGUCUGGGCAGCGUUCGAGGUCGGAGGAGGUCCGAGUUGUAGGUUCGAGGACGGGUCUGCUUCCGUAUAUAUAUAUAUAUAUAUAUAUAUAGUUUUCACAUACUGGCUAGUAAAUUAAAUAGUUUUCAAACCUAAUCGGGUUGAGUCUUUUUUGAGCAGCGAGGACGAAAGCUCACCCCUACAACAGCUUUAGAUGCAGGUACUGUGCACAAGAAUGGAAGAGAGCUGAAUCAAGUUGGGUGUGCAUAAUUGUUAAAUGCUAAGUGUCUUUGAAACUUUGUAAUCACACGUAAGGUUUCAAUUUCAUAUCCUAGUGUUUGGUACAUUUCUUGUAUUAUUGGAAAUCUUGCUCGGAAUUGUUUGUCUUGCAAUUGCCUUAUUCUUCGACCACUUACCCACACCGUCAAUGAGCCAUGUUUUGGUUAAUCGUGAAAAUGUCAUUUUUGCGUUGUAUUUCGACACUAUUCU